rnacentral:rRNA from 1 species
ACGUACACUCCUGCGGGAGGCAGCAGUGGGGAAUAUUGCACAAUGGGCGCAAGCCUGAUGCAGCCAUGCCGCGUGUAUGAAGAAGGCCUUCGGGUUGUAAAGUACUUUCAGCGGGGAGGAAGGCGAUAAGGUUAAUAACCUUGUCGAUUGACGUUACCCGCAGAAGAAGCACCGGCUAACUCCGUGCCAGCAGCCGCGGUAAUACGGAGGGUGCAAGCGUUAAUCGGAAUUACUGGGCGUAAAGCGCACGCAGGCGGUCUGUCAAGUCGGAUGUGAAAUCCCCGGGCUCAACCUGGGAACUGCAUUCGAAACUGGCAGGCUAGAGUCUUGUAGAGGGGGGUAGAAUUCCAGGUGUAGCGGUGAAAUGCGUAGAGAUCUGGAGGAAUACCGGUGGCGAAGGCGGCCCCCUGGACAAAGACUGACGCUCAGGUGCGAAAGCGUGGGGAGCAAACAGGAUUAGAUACCCUUGUAGUCCCAUGA